ensembl:lincRNA 4930593A02Rik RIKEN cDNA 4930593A02 gene
GCGCGAAGGCCUCGGGUGUGGCCCGGCAGUUAGGUGUUUUCCCUGCAUGUGUAUGCCUGAUGCCAGAAGAGGAGGGUACAGAGGCCCUGCAACUGGGGUUACAGAGAAAACAUCUGACUUGUAACUCUGAUCCACCUCUGUUUGACUGACAGCAUGCUCUUGUGUCUUAGUGGCGUUCAAAAGGGAGUGGACACCAUAGGCUGACAGAACACUGAGCGUGGCCCCAGCAAGCAUGAGGCUGAUACUAUUUCCCAGCAAACUAUUUGGGGGAGCUUCUUAGACUUUUCGUCUAGGACUUCAUGCAUCAGACUUUAUACACCACAGAUCCUUUUGAGAAUGUGCAGGUGUGAAACUACUAGCUAGCAGGAGAUAACCUCCUGUCAGGUCCCCCCUCCCUCCGCCUCCUGCGAUCAUCCUGUUCCCCUCUCAAUGCAGGACUGAAACAUCCUCACCGUGGUCUUCCUUCCUCCUAAGCUCCACAUGAAACUGANNAAAAAAAAAAAAAAACAACAGACAAAAGAUAGACAUAAAGGCUUUCCAUGGAAGCAACUGCAAUUGGCGUCUAGUCAUAAAGAAAUCGUCCAGUUUCAUCCAAAACGAGAGAAAUGCAAAACUUUCUAAUCUAGUGGAAGAAAUGAUAUGCGUGUAUAAUUAACUUCAAAACGAUGGCAGUGUGUAAUCAAUCAUGGAUUCUUCAGAGAUAGCUGGGUGGUGAGUUAGAUCUGCUCACGCAGGCAGGCAGAGCAUGCAUAGUCGGAGCAUCUGUGGCUGGCACUGGAGACCUGGAGCAGAUACUCCUCUGGUUUGGUUGUUUUCUGCUUCAAAUACAGAAAUCGCAGAAGAGCUUGAAUUUUGUCUCAGGAAUAAUUUAACAUAAAUUACAACGUAUGAAACAUGGCAAGCUAACAUAGCUAUUAACAAGGUAAAAUUUCAAAGACUAUG